rnacentral:lncRNA from 1 species
AACCUGGAGAAUAAAAGACUCUAUGUUCCUCUGACGGCCAGGCCUAAGCAGACAAGGCUUGGGAACAGCUGCCCCACAGGAGACUGAGGAGGCCAUCUGUGCUCACUCCUCUUCUCCUUCCAAGACCCUCUUCCUACCAUGAGUUAUCACCAUGGUAACAUCCUCACCAUCCUUCUCCCACCACCAAGGGUUGCCACAGCAACCUCCAAACCACCUGCCCAUCCCAGGCAGGGCAGCAGUCCUUCUGCUCAGAACCCUUGAGGACUCUAGGUGAAAAAUUACAGCCAGAGAGAGGAGUGAGCCAAGGAGAAGAGACCCUGUAGCCCUCUGGCUUUCAAGAGAAUGGAGGUUACGAUUUAAAGCACAGUAGAAGGGAAAGAGGUUUCAUCAGCCUCUACCAAGGAGCCUAGGGGUUGUACUGUCUUUAUUUUUAAACCACUAAAGUGCAGUGUUUCCUGCACUCUUGUUACUCCACCCUCUCUUCCCCGUUCUUAUUUCUUUGAGCAGACUUUCUUGGUGUUUUUUUAAUGGAGUAUAGACUUUCACCACUUCACAGGCUCUGACCUCCUCUCUAAGUCUUUCUGGAUGGGGAAAAGGAAGGUAGAGGGUCAGAGGGGAGGGGGGGAUCCCUCGUCACCCCGCAUCCAUUCACCCCACUUCUCUGGUCCCUAGUCACCAGCCUCAGUCCCCAUCUCCGACCGUCAUUGUCACACAGAUAGCCUGUCACACGGAUAGCACAGUUCAGACAAGACUCCUUCAGAUUCCGAGACGCCUACCGGUUGUUUUUGGCUUUUGUUUUGUUUGUUUGUUUUUUUACGACAGCAAUAUUCACAGCACAUUAUUACUAUUAGCUCUUUGUAGUGUUGCGUUCAGGCACCAUAGCUCUGUUCUCUCUUCUUUUUUGUUUUCGACUUUAAAAAAAAAAAUGCUUAUACUUUUUGCUGGUGAAACGGAUUGAAAAAAAAAUUCAAUAGCAAACCAGUUUGUGGGAAAAAAACAAAAAACGAAAUGUGGGAAAAAAAAUCACCCCAAUGUGGAGGGCUCAGCUCCUCUUUAGCAUUUUGUACUUAAGGAAAUAAAAAAGAAAAACCUGCAAGAUCUCACAUUUUAUUACAAGGUGAAGAUUGCUGUAUUCUAUUUAUUCAACUCAUAAUUUAUGUUACUCCCUGAUCUUUGUCUUUUGUCG